rnacentral:rRNA from 1 species
AACGAACGCUGGCGGCAUGCCUAACACAUGCAAGUCGAACGAAACGUUCGGGUCUAGUGGCGCACGGGUGCGUAACGCGUGGGAACAUGCACUUAGGUUCGGAAUAACUAUCAGAAAGGGGUGCUAAUAGGGGAUAAUGUCUUCGGACCAAAGAUCUAUCGACUUUGUAUGGGCACUCGUGAGAUAAGGUAGUUGGUAGGGUAAAAGACUACCAAGGGGACGAUCCAUAGAUGGUCUGAGAGGAUGGUCAGCCACACUGAGACUGAGACACGGCCCAGACUCCUACGCGAUGCAGCAGUGCUUGAUAUUGCACAGUGGCCUAAGUCCUGAUGCAGCUCGGCCGCGAGAGUGCUGUAGUCCUUAGAGUUGUAAAGCUCUUUUACCCGUGAUGAUAAUGACAGUACCGGGUGAAUAAGCCCCGGCUAACUACGUG